UACGGAGGAUGCGAGCGUUAUCCGGAUUUAUUGGGUUUAAAGGGUGCGUAGGUGGUGAUUUAAGUCAGCGGUGAAAGUUUGUGGCUCAACCAUAAAAUUGCCGUUGAAACUGGGUUACUUGAGUGUGUUUGAGGUAGGCGGAAUGCGUGGUGUAGCGGUGAAAUGCAUAGAUAUCACGCAGAACUCCGAUUGCGAAGGCAGCUUACUAAACCAUAACUGACACUGAAGCACGAAAGCGUGGGGAUCAAACAGG
rnacentral:rRNA from 3 species